UACGUAGGGGGCUAGCGUUGUCCGGAAUCAUUGGGCGUAAAGCGCGUGUAGGCGGCCCGGUAAGUCCGCUGUGAAAGUCGGGGGCUCAACCCUCGGAUGCCGGUGGAUACUGUCGGGCUCGAGUACGGAAGAGGCGAGUGGAAUUCCUGGUGUAGCGGUGAAAUGCGUAGAUAUCGGGAGGAACACCAGUGGCGAAGGCGACUACCUGGCCUGUUCUUGACGCUGAGGCGCGAAAGCUAGGGGAGCAAACGGG
rnacentral:rRNA from 1 species